rnacentral:rRNA from 1 species
UACGAAGGGGGCAAGCGUUAUCCGGAUUUACUGGGUGUAAAGGGAGCGUAGACGGCAUGGCAAGUCAGAUGUGAAAGCCCGGGGCUCAACCCCGGGACUGCAUUUGAAACUGUCAGGCUGGAGUGCAGGAGAGGUAAGCGGAAUUCCUAGUGUAGCGGUGAAAUGCGUAGAUAUUAGGAGGAACACCAGUGGCGAAGGCGGCUUACUGGACUGUAACUGACGUUGAGGCUCGAAAGCGUGGGGAGCAAACAGG